UUGAAAGGGAAACGAUUGAAGUCAGUCGUACCGACGAGAAAUCAGCUUUUUGAAUGUGCAUUUGUGGGCGUAUGAGAUCUUCAUUGUUUGCAAUAUGCGUAUUUUUUUGGUGUACUUUUUCGUAUGGUAGGUCAACGUCGGUUUUGGUCGCCAUAAAAUGACCGGAGGAAUGUAGCUUCGGCUUCGGUUGAAGUGUUAUAGCCUUUGGUAGAUGUGGUGAUUAAGACCGAGGAUUGCAAACGAAUACCUUUUAGGCUAUCCGUCUGACCUCUGAAAGUUACUUAGGUGCCGAAAGCUUGCUUACGGUCAUUUAGGUUGACGGUCAAUAGGUUAGAACGUGAUUACAUUCGUUAAGGAUGUUGACGUA
rnacentral:rRNA from 1 species